AUUGAACGCUGGCGGCAGGCCUAACACAUGCAAGUCGAGCGAGCGGCGGACGGGUGAGUAAUGUAUGGGGACUGCCCGAUAGAGGGGUAUAACUACUGGAAACGGUGGCUAAUACCGCAUACUAUCGGAUAACCCAUAUGGGAUUAGCGUGUAGGUGGGGUAAAGGCUCACCUAGGCGACGACCUCUAGCUGGUCGGAGAGGAUGACCAGCCACACUGGGACUGAGACACGGCCCAGACUCCGACGGAGGCAGCAGUGGGGAAUAUUGCACAAUGGGCGCAAGCCUGAUGCAGCCAUGCCGCGUGUAUGAAGAAGGCCUUAGGGUUGUAAAGUACUUUCAGCGGGGAGGCGUUACCCGCAGAAGAAGCACCGGCUAACUCCGUGCCAGCAGCCGCGGUAAUUC
rnacentral:rRNA from 1 species